CAACCUUGUCUGUGGGACUCUGGCGCGCAAAGCUCGUACGCUGCUGAAACGGCGUCUCCACACGUUUAAGCCCGUUCCCUCUAGUAUUUAGUCGCCGUUGCGAUCUGCAGGUUAACCGCGGUCGUGUGAAGGUCUCGCGUUACACCAUUAGGCAUUCUCCGUUUUUUUUUUUUUCCAAUUUUCAUCUUUGAUGGAGCUGCGCGGCGGCCUUCACAAACUUCACAGGUGGGGCAACGCGCUGGGCGACGCGCCGCUCGACCUCCUGCCAAGUAAACGCAAGCGGGGCGAUUUCGGUGACUGCGCUUACAGCGGCGCUCCUCAAGAGCCAGCAGGAACGAACGGCCAAGCUCUCCACUGCUGGAGAUACAGUAAGCAAGAGAAGAAGCUGUUCAUUGCACUCUCCUACUUUUUCACAAACCCACAAAUUUUCCAGGAUGUGGUCAACUCUCUCAGUUGCCUUUGAGGGACUGAAAAUAACCCAAAGUUUCAUCAGCCAAAGUAGUACCAGCAGCUUUUGAUUCCAUAUUCCAGGAACUACAACACCGUUUUUUUUUCACUUUGUGGGAAAGUGUCUGCGGUUCCCUUGGAGGCCUACGCUGGACAAUCUCUGAUAAAUGGCGUUCACGGAGAAGAUUUUAUUUGAAUGAAUAUUUUAUAAGGCUUCACAUUUUAUACCAGCCGUGCCUGUUUCCACAGCUUAUUAGAAGUGGUCUUCAUAUGUUGUAGAGUGGCCUAUAUAGAUAUAUAUAUAUCUAAAAAUGUAACUCCCACUAGUCAGACAACUUUAUAUGAUUCUUUGGAGCAGAAAAGUAUCAGCCGAUGUUGUGGCCGACCACCUGAAAGGAAUUUUUUUUUUUUAUGGUGGGACUCAUUCAGGCCGGAAAUUUUCCUGUAUCCCAGUUCUCAUCAGUAUGCUGCUACUUUGAUUACGUGGCCUUGGUGUCAGAGACUGGACCAGCGCGGUAGAUAGUGCUAUCAUGUCCUGGUGGGACUGGGAUAAAAUAGCCAUCUCAUCUAAUCUGAUGACAGGGUCAGACAAUACCAGUAUCUAUGAUGACCAGACUUAGUUAUAUCUGAUCAAUUUGCCAAUGGUAAGUUUCCUUCAAUGCCGAAUGAAGCCAUAAUGUCACACAGAUAUGACAGAUCUGUCUGUAUGCCUUAUCUGUCUGUACAAUAUCCUGUUGUAAAAAUGGUUCUUAAAUGGUUAUAUUGUAUAUAUAUAUAUUUCUUACUUCCCCUUUUUUGAUUUGACAUGUUUUCAUGUAAAUGUUGUGUUGUUUCAUUAAAUGUUGAUCUUUUGUAGCCUCUUGGUUUUUUAUUAUUAAAAGGAC
rnacentral:lncRNA from 1 species